GAACGCUGGCGGCAUGCCUUACACAUGCAAGUCGAACGGCAGCACGGGAGCAAUCCUGGUGGCGAGUGGCGAACGGGUGAGUAAUAUAUCGGAACGUGCCCAGUCGUGGGGGAUAACGUAGCGGAAGCUACGCUAAUACCGCAUACGAUCUAUGGAUGAAAGCGGGGGGAUCGCAAGACCUCGCGCGAUUGGAGCGGCCGAUAUCAGAUUAGGUAGUUGGUGAGGUAAAGGCUCACCAAGCCGACGAUCUGUAGCUGGUCUGAGAGGACGACCAGCCACACUGGGACUGAGACACGGCCCAGACUCCUACGGGAGGCAGCAGUGGGGAAUUUUGGACAAUGGGCGCAAGCCUGAUCCAGCAAUGCCGCGUGCAGGAUGAAGGCCUUCGGGUUGUAAACUGCUUUUGUACGGAACGAAACGGUGAGCUCUAAUACAGUUUGCUAAUGACGGUACCGUAAGAAUAAGCACCGGCUAACUACGUG
rnacentral:rRNA from 1 species